rnacentral:misc_RNA from 1 species
UGAGGAGCUUCUUCUGCUUAGACUUGGCAAUCUUCUUCAGCGUCUUGGGAUUUGUAAUCUUCUGUAGCUUAGUUCCAGAUCUCAAAAUGUUAUCCUUCUUCUUCUUCUCUCUCUCUUCUCUCUUCUUCCUCUUCUCCACCUUGUUUAAUCUAAUCUGCUCCUUCAAUUCCUCCUUCCGUUCUCUAAACGCCGCCUUAAUUUUCUUCUGCCUCUCCCUCUCCUCGAACGUGGUGCCUUUUCGGCUCACCUGCAUAGCGGACGUCCUAUGCUUCCGCGGCUGUUUCCAUUUCCGUCCGGAGACUUUGCCGGCGAUUACGCCGUCGUAUGUAGGGUUUCCAA